GAUGAACGCUGACAGAAUGCUUAACACAUGCAAGUCAACUUGAACUUCGGUUUGGGUGGCGGACGGGUGAGUGACGCGUAAAGAACUUGCCUCACAGCUAGGGACAACAUUUGGAAACGAAUGCUAAUACCUGAUAUUAUGAUUAUAUGGCAUCGUAUAAUUAUGAAAGCUAUAUGCGCUGUGAGAGAGCUUUGCGUCCCAUUAGCUAGUUGGAGAGGUAACAGCUCACCAAGGCGAUGAUGGGUAGCCGGCCUGAGAGGGUGAUCGGCCACAAGGGGACUGAGACACGGCCCUUACUCCUACGGGAGGCAGCAGUGGGGAAUAUUGGACAAUGGACCGAGAGUCUGAUCCAGCAAUUCUGUGUGCAAGAUGAAGUUUUUCGGAAUGUAAAGUGCUUUCAGUUGGGAAGAAAAAAAUGACGGUACCAACAGAAGAAGUGACGGCUAAAUACGUG
rnacentral:rRNA from 1 species